UACGUAGGGUGCGAGCGUUAAUCGGAAUUACUGGGCGUAAAGCGUGCGCAGGCGGCUUUGCAAGACAGAUGUGAAAUCCCCGGGCUCAACCUGGGAACUGCAUUUGUGACUGCAAGGCUAGAGUACGGCAGAGGGGGAUGGAAUUCCGCGUGUAGCAGUGAAAUGCGUAGAUAUGCGGAGGAACACCAAUGGCGAAGGCAAUCAGCUGGGCCUGUACUGAAGCUCAUGCACGAAAGCGUGGGGAGCAAACAGG
rnacentral:rRNA from 1 species